UACGGAGGGGGUUAGCGUUGUUCGGAAUACUGGGCGUAAAGCGCGCGUAGGCGGACUAUUAAGUCAGAGGUGAAAAUCCCGGGGCUCAACCCCGGAACUGCCUUUGAUACUGGUGUCUGAGUUCGAGAGAGGUAAGUGGAAUUCCGAGUGUAGAGGUGAAAUUCGUAGAUAUUCGGAGAACACCAGUGGCGAAGGCGGCUUACUGGCUCGAUACUGACGCUGAGGUGCGAAAGUGUGGGGAGCAAAACAGGAUUAGAUACCCGGGUAGUCC
rnacentral:rRNA from 1 species